UACGUAGGGUGCAAGCGUUAAUCGGAAUUACUGGGCGUAAAGCGUGCGCAGGCGGUUUUGUAAGACUGUCGUGAAGUCCCCGGGCUCAACCUGGGAAUGGCGAUGGUGACUGCAAGGCUAGAGUUUGGCAGAGGGGGGUAGAAUUCCACGUGUAGCAGUGAAAUGCGUAGAUAUGUGGAGGAACACCGAUGGCGAAGGCAGCCCCCUGGGUCAAAACUGACGCUCAUGCACGAAAGCGUGGGGAGCAAACAGG
rnacentral:rRNA from 1 species